rnacentral:rRNA from 1 species
UACGAAGGGGGCGAGCGUUGUUCGGAAUUACUGGGCGUAAAGGGCGCGUAGGCGGCCCCUUUUGUCGCGUGUGAAAGCCCCGGGCUCAACCUGGGAGGUGCGCGCGAAACGGGGGGGCUUGAGUUCGGGAGAGGAGAGUGGAAUUCCCAGUGUAGAGGUGAAAUUCGUAGAUAUUGGGAAGAACACCGGUGGCGAAGGCGGCUCUCUGGACCGAGACUGACGCUGAGGCGCGAAAGCUGGGGGAGCAAACAGG